CCUACGGGUGGCAGCAGUCGAGAAUCAUUCACAAUGGGGGAAACCCUGAUGGUGCGACGCCGCGUGGGGGAAUGAAGGUCUUCGGAUUGUAAACCCCUGUCAUGUGGGAGCAAAUUAAAAAGAUAGUACCACAAGAGGAAGAGACGGCUAACUCUGUGCCAGCAGCCGCGGUAAUACAGAGGUCUCAAGCGUUGUUCGGAAUUACUGGGCGUAAGGCGUGCGUAGGCUGUUUCGUAAGUCGUGUGUGAAAGGCGCGGGCUCAACCCGCGGACGGCCCAUGAUACUGGGAGACUGGAGUAAUGGAGGGGGAAGUGGAAUUCUGGGUGUAGCAGUGAAAUGCGUAGAUAGCGAGAGGAACACUCGUGGCGAAGGCGGGUUCCUGGACAUUAACUGACGCUGAGGCACGAAGGCCAGGGGAGCGAAAGGGAUUAGAUACCCCUGUAGUC
rnacentral:rRNA from 1 species